rnacentral:rRNA from 1 species
UUGGAGGGCAAGUCUGGUGCCAGCAGCCGCGGUAAUUCCAGCUCCAAUAGCGUAUAUUAAAGUUGUUGCAGUUAAAAAGCUCGUAGUUGAAUUUCGGGGUUCUACCGUUGGUCGGGCUUUGUCUGUACUGGCGUGUAGAAUUUCUACCUUCUGGGGAACCACCAUGUUAUUAAUUUAGCGUGGUGGGAAACCAGGACCUUUACCUUGAAAAAAUUAGAGUGUUCAAAGCAGGCUUAUGUCUGAAUACAUUAGCAUGGAAUAAUAGAAUAGGACGGUGGUCCUGUUUUGUUGGUUUCUGAAUCAUCGUAAUGAUUAAUAGGGAUAGUUGGGGGCAUUAGUAUUCAAUUGUCAGAGGUGAAAUUCUUGGAUUUAUUGAAGACUAACUUCUGCGAAAGCAUUUGCCAAGGAUGUUUUCAUUAAUCAAGAACGAAAGUUAGGGGAUCGAAGACGAUCAGAUACCGUCGUAGUCUUAACCAUAAACUAUGCCGACUAGGGAUCGGACGAUGUUAAUUUUUCUUGACUCGUUCGGCGCCUUACGGGAAAC